UACGGAGGGUGCGAGCGUUGUCCGGAAUCACUGGGCGUAAAGGGCGCGUAGGCGGCCCUGGCAGUCGGUGGUGAAAGCCCGCGGCUCAACUGCGGGUCGGCCACCGAUACUCCAGGGCUCGAGUUUGGUAGAGGCGAGAUGGAAUUCCGGGUGUAGCGGUGGAAUGCGUAGAGAUCCGGAAGACACCGGUGGCGAAGGCGGUCUGCUGGCCA
rnacentral:rRNA from 1 species